AAUAUAAUUUCGGUCUUCUUAAAUUUGUUAAGAUUUGUUUUGUGGUCUAAUAUAUAAUUUAUCUUGAAGGACGUUCCCUGUGCAGUUGAGAAGAAUGUGAACUCUGCAGCUGUUGGACGAAAUGUUCUGUAAAUAUCUGUGAAGUUCCUCUGAUACAGAGUGCUAUUUAUUUAUUUAUUUGAGAUGAAGUUUCAUGCUUGUUGCCCAGGCUGGAGUGCAAUGGCACAAUCUCAGCUCACUGCAAUCUCCACCUCCCAGGUUCAAGCGAUUCUCCUGCCUCAGCCUUCCAAGUAGCUGGGAUUGUGGCUGUGACAGAAUAACUGGUAUUAGAUGACCUCUUUUGCCAUAAAACUACAAAACAGGACAGCUUCAAGACACUCUACAGCAGGCGGUACAAGACGACCACCCUUCAUUCAUUCAUCAGUCAAACAGGCAUUGAGCACCCGGCCCGCAGGGGGCAUCUCGCCAGCGGAGGAAGAACACCAGGACAUUCAGAACGUACCUUUCCCUACCCAGUGUCACUUGCUCACCCCGCUGCUGCUGCUUCCUGGGAUUACCUCCUGAAACAUCUGCUAGCACUCAAUCCCUG
rnacentral:lncRNA from 13 species